AACCAUAGAAACCUGCGGAGUACCUGCGGAAGGAUCAUUACCGAGUUUACAACUCCCAAACCCAUGUGAACAUACCCAUCGUUGCUUCGGCGGAUCGCCCCGGGCGCCCUGCGUGCCCCGGAUCCAGGCGGCCGCCGGGGGACCUUAACUCUUGUUUUUACUGAGAAGCUUCUGAGUCGUUUUUACAAAUAAAUAAAAACUUUCAGCAAUGGAUCU
rnacentral:misc_RNA from 1 species